rnacentral:lncRNA from 9 species
GACCCUAUAUAGAAGAUACCACUGCAACAUGGCAGAAUGAAAAUUUUGGAUAGCCAGGCUACUUUUUGUACUAAUUCUUAGGUAUCCAUGUGCUCCAGCUACUCUUUGGCUAACAACUUUAUUGAGAUGUAAUUUUUAUUCUAUAAAGUUCACCCUUUUAAAGUAUACAGUUUAGUGGCUUUAGUAUAUAAACAGUUUUGUCACUAUCACCAUAAUCUAAUUUUAGAACAUUUUCAUUAUCUCCCAAAAAAACUCUUUUUACCCAAUAGUAGUCUCUCCACUUCACUCCCUUCCCUUUCUACCCCCCAACCCAAAGUAACUACUAAUACAUUUUCUCUAUAUAUGGAUGCACUGGUUACUUUUGUUCCAAAAUGCUUAUAAGCUUGACCAUACUUAAAUAAUAGUAAAACUGCUUUGGCAUUUAAACAGCAGAAAAGCUCAUCUAGUGGUUUUAAAGUGACAAUAUGAAAAAAGCUAGAAUAAUGCCUGCUUGUGAGCCUCGUGAAUGCUAUACUCCCAGAUUCAGUACAUGUAAUCUUAAUAGUACUUAAAGGAAUCUUAAUACUACUCAAAGAUUCUUGAAUAUACCUUCUUAAUUUUAUAGUGGUGGAAAUGAGACCUAGAGGGGUUAAACUGAAUGGCUUAACAUUACUCAUCUAAUUAGUGACUGUCAAAUAUAUUUUUAUUAAAACACUAUGCUUAAUUGGCAGAUACAAGAAACAUGAGGUUAAAGCUUUACGACCAACAACUAAGCAUGCUACAACUGAGAGUUCUCAGCAACAGCCCAAAGGAAUAUUCCUGAAAUUCAACUUUAAAGCAAUCGGUAAUCAGACUAAGCUUUCACUCAAUGAGAGAUUCUCUAAGCUGAAAAUGGAGAAAAGACCAGAACCAGUUGUCAGUUUUGAAGACCAAAAAGCUUUUUCCCUUAAAUGUUUGCUGCUAACUGAUACUAUAGUGAAUUUUAUUCAAGAGCAUAUAUAUUUUUCAACAUUUAACUUUUUAUUGCUUUUGUUAAUGUAUUUCUCCUUAGGUAAGCUUUGAUGUGAGUAAUCUGUCAAAACUAAGUGUUUACAUAAAAGAAAAAUAUAUUUAGCUUUGUUUGCAUAAAAGAACAGAAAUGUGAGUAAGAAGGAAGGCUA